GUUGACGGUACAGUGGCUUUGAAUUUUUCCAAUUAAAUACAAUCGCAUGACAAGGAACUUGAGAGAAACUUUAACUUUUCUUGUUGUUCUUAACAGCAGAACAUCAUCAGACAAAGGGAGGUGGCUCAGCCAUGGAGAAGGAAAUGAGAGCCAUGAGGACAUCCGUUACCCGCAUGGCACAGCAGAUGGAUACAUUCGAGGAGAAGAUGGAUGAGCUGCUCAUGCUCUUAAGGAGCUCCCUGUCACCUCCCUCUGCUCCAGGCAAUGACAUGUUGCUGUCGCCCUGCUCGACCAUCACAGAGCUGCAGGUGUUUGACAGGAGUCUCGGUCAACAGGAGAGGAGGA